GCGCACGCGCGCUACGUCCCGCAGACUGGCUGCCCCCGAGGGUUCGCGUGAGCCGAGCACGGGGCUCGGGGUGCGGGGGGCUGCGUGAUGGACGCAUUUGUUCUUUGGUCCCUGACGAUUGUUUCUCAUUUGCCCUCCAAGUCCCAAAUCCUGUCAGUCCACGGCCUUGGUGGGGCGGCCCCCGUGGGAAGACCCUGUUGAUUGUACUAGCGGAUGUUGUCUCCAUUCUGGAUCUGGGAAAAACUGUGGAGUGAAAGCCGGACCUGUUAGGGUUGGGACCUGAAAGCGGACUUUUUCUCUCUCAGACGGACCCCAGGAAUUUCAUGUUUAACAGAGGUGUCUUCAAGGAGAUGAAACAAUUCAGAAUGACCUAGACAACGGGGUAAUUCCUAAGACCCAGGCCUUAAAACAUUAGCUGUUUCAACUUGCCAUCACUUGCGACACUCACUCUUAGAACCCACCACCGUGCCCUGAGGAAGCCCAAACAACCCAUGGAGACAUCCGCAUGGAGAGACCUGUGCCCUCGGUCCUGGUUGAACUCUCAGCUGACAGUCAAUGUCAACUUGCCAGCCAUAUGAGUGAACCAUACUGAAGUUCAUCAUCCAUCCCUGAGUAAAUCUACAUGAGCUGACACCAUGUGGAGAAGAAACAAGCAUUCUUACUGAGCCGUUCCCAAAUUGCCGAUUCAUAAACUAAAAAAAAAGAUUGCUGUUCAUUUAAGCCACUAAAUUUUAGGAAUGUUUAGUAAGCAGCGAUCUAUAACUAGAACAAUGGUCAAUAAAUGAAAAUUUUACUUUAAGAAGGCAUACUAUAGCCACAUAACUUUGGGAAACUCUUGGUUAAAGUUUUAAAAAUUUCCCUUACUGCAGAGCUUUUAAUGGGCUAAUGUGUUUCAUGUUCCCGCACAAGAGUAUCCAGUGUUUCUCAAACAUUUUUAACCACAGAAUCUGUAUUGUAAAGUGCCAUCUUGCAAGAUUUGGGUUCAACGGCCAGACUUUAAGAAAACCAAAUGAACUUUUCAGUAAUUCAAUAAUUGAAAUUCUAAUUCUUAAAAUUGCAGAGUUUACAUUAGGAUAGUUUUAAUUUGAAAAGUCGUAUGUUAUAGAGUUAAUUCUGGUAAUAAAGUAAAAUACCCU